GCCCUCAGUUGCUUGUGCUUUUGCUGCGCAGACAAAAAUUCCAGGGAUUGUUGUCGGUUGGCCAACCCAUAGCUUCCUGUCCUCUGCCGGAAUGUUUUAAUUCGCCCAUCCUCUCUUCUUCGAAUGAAUCGCAGAAUAUCUUUCGAAGUAGUGUCAAGCUGUAAGGGGCGUCCAGCGGGCUGCAUACACACACACACAACACUACUAGACCGGUUAUCUGUUCAUCAGAGGCAGGCUCUCAUAGAGCUCCGAGUCGGAGAGUGAAUGAGGUUGAUGCUGUUCUGUUGUAACUGGAAGGACGAACGUAUGGGAGAGGAAGAAGCUGGCAGAAGCUUGCCCGUGUGUGCGGGAUGCAGACAACGGAUCUAUGAUGAACAGUAUCUCCAGGCACUCAACAAUGACUGGCACACUGUAUGCUUCAGAUGCUGUCAGUGCAGUGCCUCCCUGUCCCACUGGUACUAUCAGAAGGAGGGCCGGCUCUUCUGCAAGAAGGAUUACUGGGCCAAGUUCGGAGAGCUGUGCCAUGGAUGCAACGACCCCAUCACAACCGGCCUGAUCAUGGUCGCAGGGGAACAGAAGUACCACCCAGAAUGCUUCACCUGUCUGAACUGCAGAGCCUUCAUCGGAGAUGGAGACACCUACGCACUGGUGGAGAGGUCCAAACUAUACUGUGGCCACUGUUACUACCAGACCAUUGUGACGCCUGUGUCCCUGUCAGACUCACCAUGCUCCAGGAUCCCCCACACGGUGACCCUGGUGUCCAUCCCAGCCUCCACAGACGGGCGGAGAGGGAUCUCAGUCGCCAUCGACCAGCCUCUCAGCCCUCUCAGUCCCAACGGCUACGGCCCUGAACACACGGUCAGGGUGUCACAGGUGGACUCUGAGUUGAUCAGUCCAGAUGUGAAGAACUCCAUACAUGUCGGAGACCGGAUCCUGGAGAUCAACGGAACACCCAUCAGGAACGUUCCUCUCGAUGAGAUUGACCUGCUCAUCCAGGAGACCAGUCGUCUGCUCCAGCUGACCAUAGAGCACGACCCCCACGACCAGGGGGGUUCAGAGGGGGAGACGGUGGACGGACCCCUGAUCACUCCUCUGUCUGGCGGUCCCAGCCCCAUCCUCCCCAUCACCCAACCCCCACACCCAGACAUCAAUAACCUACGCUCACGCAUGAUCACACGGAGCUACAGUAUUGAUAAGUCUCCGUGCUCCAGUAACGCAGCGUCCCCUCUCUCUCAGAGGAAGGACAUUAACCGCUCUGAGUCACUGCGAGUCGUCUCCAACAGUCGAAUGCACCGGAUCUUCCGGCCCUCAGACCUCAUCCAUGGAGAGGUGCUGGGAAAAGGCUGCUUUGGACAGGCCAUCAAGGUGACCCACAGAGAGACAGGGGAGGUGAUGGUGAUGAAGGAGCUGAUUCGUUUCGAUGACGAGACGCAGAGGUCAUUCCUAAAAGAAGUGAAGGUGAUGCGUUGUCUGGAGCACCCCAACGUGCUGAAGUUUAUAGGUGUCCUCUACAAAGACAAGAGACUCAAUUUCAUCGCAGAGUACAUCAAAGGAGGAACCCUGAGGGAGAUCAUUAAGAAAAUGGAUAUCAACUACCCUUGGAAUCAGAGAGUGAGCUUUGCUAAAGACAUCGCUGCAGGGAUGUCAUAUCUGCAUUCCAUGAACAUAAUCCACCGCGACCUGAACUCAUACAACUGUCUUGUCAGAGAGAAUAACAGUGUGGUGGUGGCAGACUUUGGGCUGGCUCGGCUGAUGGUGGAAGACAAGAUCCAGGACAAGAGUCUCCUGCAGAAGAAGCCUGACCGCAGGAAGAGAUACACUGUAGUAGGCAACCCCUACUGGAUGGCCCCGGAGAUGAUCCACGGGAAAAGCUAUGAUGAAAAGGUGGACAUCUUUUCCUUCGGGAUCAUGCUUUGUGAAAUCAUCGGUAGGGUGAAUGCAGACCCAGACUACUUGCCCAGGGCCCAUGACUUUGGGCUGAAUGUGACAGGCUUCUUAGAGCACUUCUGUCCUCCAGACUGCCCCCCUGCCUUCUUCCCUAUGGCUGUCCUCUGCUGUGACCUGGAUGCUGAGAAACGCCCCGCCUUCACCAAGCUGGAGGAGUGGCUGGAGAACCUGAAGAUGCACCUCGAGAUCCGCCUGCCGAUGGUGUCCGAGCUCGACGCGCUACACAAAGCAUUCUGGGGAAACCACACUGCCCCCACCAUGGCUUGCACAGCCUUGCGGUCUGAAAACGGCCUACCCCCGCACCCCGAGACUCCGGAGUAGAAGGGAUCCGGAACAGAGCGGAAUGCUGCUUGUCUCAGCCCAUGAGAGUGGGCAGAGAGAGGGGGUUAUGGUGGUGGCAAUGGAGUAGUUGCAUUGCACUGUCCAGGGAGGGCUGGGGCAGGAGCUCUGUACGUACCUCCUCAUGCCACAGCAGUCACAGUGGUCAUGUAGGCUGACAGUGGGCUGCCGAUGGGCUGUAUAGACUCAGGGGAAACGAGAAUGGGAAAAGCCAGCCUUGCCUAAAGGCACUCACCCAUUCAACUCCAACCAAGAGAGACUCACUCAGACUAACAUUACCACUAUCAUAGCUUCAGUCUGAUGAUUGCUGUACCUUAGCUGAAUGACAGGUUGGUAACUGCUAGCUAGCAGUAUCAGUCAAUCCCAGCUGUGAAAUCAUCCAUCUUAACACUCAUGUAAUCUUUAUCUUAUGGUGUUAAAUCAUAUUCAGACGUCUCUAAAACAGAAAAGAAGAAAGGAUGCUUCAGCCUCAUUGGUAAGGCUCCUUCCUCCAGAGUAUUUGUGCAACAACGUGUUUGAAAAGUGUUCCUCUGUGUGACUUUGGUUUGAUUUUACGAUAUCAAAACCGCUUUUUGAAAUGCUAAAGAAAGGGGCCUUUUAUGUGGAUAAAACACAUAAGUUGAGACGCACACACACAGUCCGGAUGUAGAAUAUAAUCGAGCAAAAGCUUUUGAGCAUAAACAAAAAGCUUUUUAAACAUUGCAUGACUGUAAAUAGCCCAGUCUGUGUCCAGUAAGCCUUGUCUGUUGUCUCCUCCUCUCCCCCUCUACUGAUGACAUGUGUGUCCCAAAUGGCAUCCUAUUCCCUUUAUAGUGCACUGCUUAAGACCAGGUCCCAAAGGGUAUUACCAAAGUAGUGCAUUAUAGGGUGCCAUUUGGGACGUAUUCUUAAAGUGAUAUCCCUGGUAGUGUAGAAUACAUGGUCCAUGAAUGACUGUGUUCCUUCUCUCACUGUGCAGCACUGACUUCACUUUGAGGUAGACUUCUUUCAUACCUUUUGUACAUUUUUCUAUUUCAUUUGAGUUUAUUACUCUCUUUCUCCUUAUUUCAUUCACGUCGAGGUGAAAUCUUGUGUGUCCAAACUUUUGAUUGGUACUGUAUGUAGCCAGUGAUAUUAUAAUAUUGUAAAUGUUUUAAAUAUUGUAAAUGUACAGACAUAUUUUGUAUACUUAUAAUGUAUGCUACAUUGUUAUAUUUUUAUUGGGCUACCUGUUGAAAUUAAGGAGAAGAAGAAAAACAUAAAAAGUUAGUCAGUAGUAGCUGAUAUGGAGCAGAUUCCUUUCAACAGUGAUGAUGACUUCCUGUCUCGGGAUGCCAUGGUGACAGACAGAGAUAAGGGUAUUUUAGGAAGUUAAUACGACAUAAUAGAGCAUCUUAGGGUCCUAGCUCACCCCUAACUACCCUCACUGUAAGUGUAAGCACUCUCACAUGAUGUGUCCCAUUUACUCCCAUCGUCGUCUCUCUGCAUAUCAAACGAUUUUGUCUACAGCAGCCUUUGAUCUGGUCUAGACUCCAGAGAGUGCCCUGACAAUGACCUCGGCUAUAACUACUCCGUAGGUAUCGCCUCAAUUGAAUGUAAUCAUAACAAGAGAAUCAACUCAGUCACAUAAAAAUAAGGUUAUGUAAUUUGGCAUUAUAUACCAAACCACAUUUACGCUUUAUUCCUCUCAAAAGAAAUUGAGGAUGAUUUGUUAGUUGUUAUUAUAGAGCUCUUUAGUCAUCCAUAGCAGGACAGAUGUUGUGGGAAGUGUUGGAGACAGACAGACAGACAGACAGACAUGUCAUAGUGCCUGUCUGACCACAAUCCUCUCUGUCCUGGAGAAAAACCUAGUCACAACCCUAGUCUCCUCUAACAUGGAGCUCCCUAUGGGAGGCCCUCUGUUUACACACAAACUGCUGGCUGUAAAUAUGAUCUAUAUUAUAUGUCUGUCUGUCGUUGUGCAUCGCAUACUACACUCUUGAAAAUAAUCUCUUUUACUGUAUGUCAAUUCUUCUCUUGAACACAUUGUCACUCAUUCUCUCACUCGUGUUCUUUUUCCAUCAAACAUUUUUUCUAUUCCUCUUUGCACUAGAAGAUGAGCUGCAUGGUGUACUUUCUACUGCGGUCACUUCUGCUGUAAAACCAAGCUAUUAUUUUCACUUUAUAACAGAAAUUGUUAUUGAAAGGAAAGAAAGAAAGAGUAAGGAAAGAGUGUACAAAGGAGAAGGAAAAGAUGAAAUAAAGAAAAAACACAGCAUCUCUUUUGAUAUAUAACGACUGAAAUCUUUUUGUAUAGAUUUGAGUACUUUGAUUUGCACUUUCAAUGUUGGAUUACUUGUGAUAAAGAAAUAAAAUGACGUUGGCUGAUAAUAUGAAUGCAAGUCACUGAUGGCGCCUUUCAAUUCAGUUGUAAACAUGUGUCCUGGGAAAUUCUUCCUUCUUCGUAGCAAACCAGAGUUAGGUGGCCAUUCUGAUGACUGCAGGUAUUGAUUAUUAGAUAACUCUAAUGUCAUAGCAUGUCUGUGUCUAAACUGGUUCACAUUUCAGACAUAUGCUCAACUUUAAAAACAUGGAACAUGCAACUUUGAGGGGUACGAAAGAGAUGCCUCGCAGGCCUACCUUUUAAAUGUCCGAACUAUUCAGCCUUGUUAUUAAAAAUGAUUCUAGUUUGCUACAGAGAGGAUGAAAUAACCAUGGUCUGCCUGCUGCCUAUAGACCGAUCCUUUGUGAAUGAAGUUCUGUGUCUUCUUGACUGCUCCACCUUACUGUGAUGUCCAGAGAGGUUUAAAGCAUUGUUAGUCUGUCAUCAAAAGAAAGCCCUUUUUACACUAUUGUGCUGAACCGUAUAGCGCUGGCUAGAUAUUUUCCUUUCCAGAACGAUUCCAGAAACUAGGGUGGAAGCGAAACAAGACCAAAUCCAUUUGGCUUGUCAUGGCUCAGUAAUGUGAAAAGGUUAUACUUACUGGCCUAUUCAAUCUCCACAAUCGCAGUAGUACAAUAAGCCUCCAAUGAGCAUGAAGUCCUCUACCUACCUGUCAAAGUAUAAAAUAAGUACCGAAAAAUAUAUCUUUCUUAUGUACAUCUUCUGCUAAUGUGUUAAUCAAUGGGCAUAAUGGGAAUUUAAUUUAAGUAUGUAUAGGACUUUGCCAUGUUUGUGCGUAUGUAUCACCAUGUCUGUCAAAGCCACAUGGAUGAGAAUGUUUUCCGCACCACUUCUUUGCAAAGAAUCCUUACUGCUGAACAAUAUGCUGUGCCUUUGUUUAAAGCUAGCCUUGCCAACAACUAGACUCAACACGUUUGUUUGAACAGAUUUUUUUGUAUAAAAUUCAAGUGCAAGCCUGAUGAUAAUGAAUGGAUUUAACAUCGUUGCUGACAUUUUGUUUUAUUUUGAUGAGACGUUCCGCUUGUUCUGUAUCAUAUUUAUAUUUUCCAUACUUCUCCAUCAUUUUUGAUAUCUUAGGGAUUGUGGUUUAUUUGAUUUACUUUAUAUAUAUUUUUUAAAUGUACACAAGCUGUGAACUAUUCUGCACUUUAAUCCUGAACGUGAACAUUGAGAACCCUAGGAGACCACUAUUUCAUCACAGCUGGAAUAAAUGUGUUGCUCUUUUAAUGAAA